rnacentral:lncRNA from 1 species
GUUGACUACAGGUUUUUUUACUUAUACUUGAAUCCAAGCUAAUGUGACACAUUUGCAAGCAUAGCUGCACAUGUUCUGGUUUAAUUGGGAAAUAUCUCCUUUGACUUUCAGGAUAGCACAGAAGCAGAGACUUUAAGUCUAAACAGACCUAGAUUCAGAGCAGACCCGAUGCUGCUUGAAGAAGGCUGGAGGUAUGUUAAGGAGACAAGGGCUGUCAAGAAGCAGGGAUGUCUCUGGAAAGGCCAUCUUCACUUUUGCCACUUUCUGAAGCCUGAAUUCUCCUAGGAAUUUCAACUAACUUUUUCCAAUGGAAGGUGGAUAUAUUGUAAUGUAAGUAAUCUUCCCAACUAGCUUUUUGGAAGAGAUGUCUUAAAAGGUACAAGAAAAAUUCUUAGCAAAAAUCACUAUUUUUAUCAAGCGGUCAAUAUUUUUCACUUCUACCUUCUACCAUGGUGAAAAUGCAAGCUUUCAAUUAUCCUCUUAUGCACACUCAUCAUUUGAUGGCCAGUACUUCUUCUCUCUGAUUUUAUUUCCCCAGCACUCUGCUCUAAAACUUGUAUAUAGCUUCAGGAUCUAAAUUAACUAUUUCCCCUCUUCCUUUGCCUUCACUAAGACUCAGUUUUCCUUCAGAGUGCAAUUAGCCCUGUUACCUUCUGGAGUGAAAAUGGCUCAGCCUCCCACUCUAAUGUAUUACAGACCAGGGAGAAAUACUGGUACCAAUGGCAUUAAAUCAACACCAUUGUUUUCUUUAUUGAAAGA